rnacentral:misc_RNA from 1 species
GAUGAAGAACGUAGUGAAAUGCGAUACGUAAUGUGAAUUGCAGAAUUCAGUGAAUCAUCGAAUCUUUGAACGCAUAUUGCGCUCUCUGGUAUUCCGGAGAGCAUGCUUGUUUGAGUAUCAGUAAACACCUCAACUCCCCUUUCUUUUUUUGAAAUGGGAGCUGGACUUGAGUGAUCCCAACGCUUUUCUCACCGAAAAGUGGCGGGUUACUUGAAAUGCAGGUGCAGCUGGACUUUUCUCUGAGCUAAAAGCAUAUCUAUUUAGUCUGCCUAAAAAACAGAUUAUUACCUUUGCUGCAGCUAACAUAAAGGAGAUUAGUUCUUGUGCUGACUGAUGCAGGAUUCACAGAGACAGCUUCGGCUGGCCUUUGUAAACUCGAUCUCAAAUCAAGUAAGACUAACCGCUGAACUUAAGCAUAUCAAUAAGCGGAGGA